CGAAAGUGAAAGUAGAAAUUGUGUACACGUUAACAAUAACCAUCUCGAAGUUGAAGUUAAACACGCAAUCUGGAGCUCGGUAUCACAUCUGACUAGCACUUCUGAAAUGGAUCAAAUCGGACUUUGUCGUUGAGACUCGGAAAAACCCAGCUGCCUAAAUUAUAAUGCCAGUGGAACUCAAAACAGAAAAGAUACUUGUAUGCAAGACAUGGAGAAAAUAGCAGACUACAGCCUCUAUAUACCAUUCCUUGGUGCCUCCUUGAAUUGAUGUUUUUCCGGAUAACCAUGGAGGAAUAAAGGUUAACUCAGUAUAAAGUCUUGCUGACAUGAACAUGAUAAUCACAAGAAAGUGAAUAUAUUUCAUCACCUUAAGCAAUCUUCGAAAUACCAGGUAAAGUGCAUUUAUUCUGAACACAUAUCAAAUAUUUAAACCCAUUUAAUAUGUCACCCCUAAUUUUUUUUGAAAGUAUACUGGAAACACAAUGUCUGUUUGCCAGUCUCUCUGUAUAGUAAUUAUAUAUGGAAGCAUAUAGUUUUUAAAUACUAGUAGCUUUUUAGUUCACCUGAGCCGAAAGCUCAAGUGAACUUUUCA